rnacentral:piRNA from 1 species
UGGAGCAAAUGGGUCAGGCAGGAGG